GAUCAACGCUGGCGGCGUGCCUAACGCAUGCAAGUCGGACGGGUCUCGCCUGCGGGCGGGGCGCCGUGGCGGACGGGUGCGUAACACGUGGGGAACCUGCCCUGAGGUGGGGGAUAACCCGCGGAAACGCGGGGUAAUACCGCAUACGCUGGUCUGGCGGUGGGCUGGAUCAGGAAAGCCGGGAGGCGCCUUGGGAGGGUCCUGCGGCCGAUUAGCUGGUUGGUGGGGUAAUGGCCUACCAAGGCGAUGAUCGGUAGCUGGUCUGAGAGGACGGCCA
rnacentral:rRNA from 1 species